rnacentral:rRNA from 1 species
UGGUAACAGGAAACAGCUUGCUGUUUCGCUGACGAGUGGCGGACGGGUGAGUAAUGUCUGGGAAACUGCCUGAUGGAGGGGGAUAACUACUGGAAACGGUAGCUAAUACCGCAUAACGUCGCAAGACCAAAGAGGGGGACCUUCGGGCCUCUUGCCAUCAGAUGUGCCCAGAUGGGAUUAGCUAGUAGGUGGGGUAACGGCUCACCUAGGCGACGAUCCCUAGCUGGUCUGAGAGGAUGACCAGCCACACUGGAACUGAGACACGGUCCAGACUCCUACGGGAGGCAGCAGUGGGGAAUAUUGCACAAUGGGCGCAAGCCUGAUGCAGCCAUGCCGCGUGUAUGAAGAAGGCCUUCGGGUUGUAAAGUACUUUCAGCGGGGAGGAAGGGAGUAAAGUUAAUACCUUUGCUCAUUGACGUUACCCGCAGAAGAAGCACCGGCUAACUCCGUGCCAGCAGCCGCGGUAAUACGGAGGGUGCAAGCGUUAAUCGGAAUUACUGGGCGUAAAGCGCACGCAGGCGGUUUGUUAAGUCAGAUGUGAAAUCCCCGGGCUCAACCUGGGAACUGCAUCUGAUACUGGCAAGCUUGAGUCUCGUAGAGGGGGGUAGAAUUCCAGGUGUAGCGGUGAAAUGCGUAGAGGUCUGGAGGAAUACCGGUGGCGAAGGCGGCC